rnacentral:lncRNA from 1 species
AUCCAGAGACCACUCUAAAAUGGUGGCUGACGUGGAGACAGAGGAAGCUCCUUUCUAGUUAUGGCCACAAGGCAGGAUGCUGAGGUGUUGUCUAGGCUCAGUUGGAUCUCCAAGUGGCGGUACCGUCCUCUCCACUUCAAAAAUACACAGAAACAUGUGGAAAUGUUCUGUCAUCCAGAAUGAAAAGCAUGUGCACCAUAUUUUCACGGACCUGAUUCGAAUGUAGAUAAAAGUGCAAAAUCCAGAGGGGGGAACACGCUAUAGAAAUCCUGUCUUCUAUACUAUAAUUUAAUCAUCGUGUGCCACAGACUGUCUUUGCAUACAUUACAACCGCAAUGAUAGCAUCACUUUCACAAAAGGUGGCCUCUAAUCGAUCUGACUCUCCAAGAGAUGGCUGGGUUUUUCAAAGCAGAGAAAUGAUGCCCUGCAGUCUUAAAGAGCUGUUGAUUGCACCUGGGGCUCCCGUGGCCGGCGCCCAUCCAGCAGCCCAUCCUGGCUGUUCCCUUGUUCAGCUGAUUUUCUUUUUUAUCUUGACAUUUGCUAACCGUUUGCUUUUUAUUUUCCGGGAAGAGAGGAUUAUUGGCAACUGGCACCACCCCCCAUGUCUGGAGGAGGGACGUUUCUAGGAUGACCCCCAGAGUGGAGAAAUAGCCGAGGUAACCUUUUUGCUAUAAAUUUCUUCCCCUGCCUCCGUCUUCUGUUCCUUUCCUUUCCCCCAUCCCUUGAACAAACAUGAUUUUUAAAUUCCCCUCAUCAUUUUUAGUGCUUUGGAGUCUUCUCAGAUCUGGACGAAAACAGUUCGUGAGCUGCGCUGAGCAGUUCCGGAGCCCUGGCUCCCUUUCCCCCGCUAAGCCCCCAAGAAGAGUCUUUUUCAGGACUACGGGAGCAUGUUUUAAAAGGCUUUCUAUUGAAGCGAGGCCGUCAGCCAGCGGUGCGUGUCCGCAUUGUGGUGGUCCCAGAGCCUUAUGGACAAUCCUUUGAAAGAAUAGGGUUGGGAAGAUUCUCAGGACAGAAGCGGCUAAUUUCCAUCCUUGGAGCUUUAUCUCACAAAGGAUAUUUGAUAGAGAGAAAAAAUGGAGUCUGUGGAAGCUUUGCUCCUAUUUCCAAAUGGGUUGACUCUGGAUGCAAAGGAUAUUUUCACAUUUUUCCCAAUAGAGGAAAGCUUUUAGUGCCAAAAUCCUCAAAGGAGAAUGAACAUCACACAUCACACAUGUAUGUGUAAGGCUAGAAUAAUAUGGUAAAAAAUCCAGUGAGUACAAGCACACAAUGGGCAUUCAGUACAGGUUAAACGAAUAAGUAAGAAAAAUUCAAAGUUGUUAUUGCUGUUUAUAAGGGUGGUGAUUAUUCACAGAUGCAAAUGUAUACUCCCUUUUGUAAUCACAACAAUGUAAAAGUCUUAUCUCUGAUUACUACCAUGAGGACACUUAAAUAUUUAGCCCUGGGGACAAAAUGGUCUGUAGGCAGAGCAUCCUGUGUGUUUAUGUGCACACAUAAAAUGCAGCCCUGGCCGCAGGACUGCAAGGCCUCUGACUGCAUCAUUUACAUUCAGGGGUGGUCCUGAUCAACAUGGCCCCAUAGAAUAAUAGAGGGAAUUUCAGAUAGUACAGUGUUAGAUAAUAACACUUUCCACUGACUCUGUUUAUAUGUGGAAAUUAGAAGUGCUGAGUGAAAAAGAAUAGUGAAAAUAAAAACAGGAAGCAUAUACACAACAAUUUUUCCUCUCUGCAAAUCAGAUUAUUCCCUUGCGCACCCUGCAACCCCCAUCUAUGAUGUCAAACCCAAUGGACGGUUGAACUAACAGCCUGGGAGUCACCAGCAUGAGAGUGUGUGUGUCCAUGCUGUGCAACUUGAAUUAGGCUGGCCACCAUGGCUGUGUACAGCUACCCCAGGAAGAGCCCCUCCCCUCCUCAGCGUUUCAGUGGAAAACAUGCUGACUGGGACCCAGCUACAGGAAUCACAUUUGGGCAGAGAGAAUGGUUUACCCUUUUCAUGAGGGGUCUUGAGUCAAGAACACUUGCCAAUUCUGCUUGUCUAUUUCCCAUUCUCUACAGUUUUUCCUAUCACUCCUUAGACUAAGAAAGAAAAAUGUGUAGGAAUGAUUCGGUGGGAUUUCUCUUUUGUUCAUAAAUAAACUUUAUCCCUGGAUGAGCUCGUUCACACUAGGGAAGUUACUACUACUGGCUUUGAAGCCAGGCAGAUCUGGGUGUCCCUUCGCAUUUCUUUAUUGCUUUGUGGGUGAUCUUUUCCCAGCUUUUCUGCUGUUUCAUCCUUCUUAGUGAGAGCUGCUUUAGCUGCAGAACAGGGGCAGUAAUGCCUACCUUGCUGGGUUGUAGUAGAGAAUGCUGUUUAUGCAGGAAAAUAAAAAAACACAGCACACAAUGGGAUCUUAAUACAUAAGGAUUAUAAACAGUCUUUUGUGUAUGUAUCAAUGUAUUUCAUGUCCUUAAUAUUUAUUUAAAGCAAGUACAUUCUUUUGAAUUAAGCAUAAAAAGGUCAUAAAAUGCCAGAGAUGUGCUUAUUUGAAAUGUUUGCAAAGCUUUGCAAUUGAUUUAAAAUAAGGAGAUGAUAUAACAGAGUGUUAGCUCUGCCGCUAAUUAGUUAUGCAAUCUUAGAUUAUGUCACUUCCCUAGGUCUCAGUUGUGAACAGUUGCUUAAUAAAUAAUUUUUGUUUUGCUGUCAUAAAU